CCUAGGGAUAUUUUUAUCUGAAUUCUCUGAAAAGUGAUUAAAAUAUGGCCCACUGAAAAUCUUCAUAGAUUUUCAAAACAUCAUCAUCAUCAUCAUCGUCGUCAUCUAAGCUGGUGAAGCUGAGUUCAAUUAAGCUAUUUGAAUGUGCCUUUACGAUGAAAGAUCAAACUAUAACAAGAAAACAAGUUGUCAACACAGAAAGGAUUGGUAAGUUUUCUUUUGCGCUACUGUUGAAUGUUUUUGUGUUUAUAUAUAUACACAAACACACACACGUACGUAUGAGGGAUGCCUAUUACAUGUUUGUUGAAAUUCCUACAAGAAAACGAGCUCUUAGAUAUUUGUCUGGAAACUUCCACCGUGUUGUGCACACAAUGAAUGAAUGGCAUUCCUUAGUGAACAUUUAAUUAUAUUCCUUAUGCAUCUCAUUCUCACCAUUGCCUUAAACUUUUUUCCUCGUACUAAAGUGAAGUCUCUAGCUUUGUGAUGUUUCCUUAACGACCCCUUGAUCGAAUUUCAGCUUAUCUACAUUAUCUCGUCUUUCGGUAUUUUUGUCAAUGCUAAUAUGAUUGUGCUAGCCCAAAUCAAGAAUUGUUAGGCAGUGUAGACUGUGUAAAGCUCCUAUGUUGCGAAGCUUUUGAAAUUAUAGGCAUUUAGUGUACAUUAUCUUGCUACGUACCGCAAAAGCUAAAAUGUAGAAGCAUCGUAUUCCGAAGUGUGUAUAUCUUCCGACACACUUCUUAGUAUCACACCCUCAGACUAAAAGUUUGUUUACAAGUGUCACUGACGAGUCAACCGAACAUCCAAACUGGGACAAUGUUUUAGAAGGACAUACAUACAUAAUCGAAACAUAGUUCCAGUGUAUGCACCAUAAUUACAGUGAAAGAAAACGAAAGAAAACCUGUCAACAUUAAUGUUGUGCGCUCGUUUCAUUCCUAUCAACAGGCUCAAUCCCCAUGCUCGUUAUGUGAGACGAUUCGCCUUGUUGACUUGUAGUGUCGUUCUCAAAAGCACUUGUAGAAUCGGAAACAGAAUCUUG
rnacentral:lncRNA from 1 species